rnacentral:rRNA from 1 species
UACAGAGGCCUCGAGCGUUGUUCGGAAUUACUGGGCGUAAAGGGAAUGUAGGUGGUGACGUAAGUCAGAUGUGAAAGCCCUGGGCUUAACCCGGGAAGUGCAUUUGAUACUGCGUUGCUGGAGUGCGAGAGAGGAAAGCGGAAUUCCCAGUGUAGGAGUGAAAUCCGUAGAUAUUGGGAGGAAUACCGAUGGCGAAGGCAGCUUUCUGGCUCGUAACUGACACUGAGAUUCGAAAGCGUGGGUAGCAAACAGG